GAAUGCUGACAUAAGUAACGAUAAAGCGGGUGAAAAGCCCGCUCGCCGGAAGACCAAGGGUUCCUGUCCAACGUUAAUCGGGGCAGGGUGAGUCGACCCCUAAGGCGAGGCCGAAAGGCGUAGUCGAUGGGAAACGGGUUAAUAUUCCCGUACUUGGUGUUACUGCGAAGGGGGGACGGAGAAGGCUAUGUUGGCCGGGCGACGGUUGUCCCGGUUUAAGCGUGUAGGUGUGUGUUCCAGGUAAAUCCGGUUCACUUUAACACUGAGGCGUGACGACGAGGCACUACGGUGCUGAAGCAACAAAUGCCCUGCUUCCAGGAAAAGCCUCUAAGCAUCAGGUAACACGAAAUCGUACCCCAAACCGACACAGGUGGUCAGGUAGAGAAUACCAAGGCGCUUGAGAGAACUCGG
rnacentral:rRNA from 1 species